rfam:Pteropus alecto contig95042, whole genome shotgun sequence.
AUCUAUAGACAUGCUACCCUGAACAAGCCCAAUCCCAUCUGAUCUUGGAAGCUAAGCAGGGUCUGGCCUGGUUAGUACUCGUAUGGGAGACCACCUAGGAAGACCAGGUGCUGUAGGCA